rnacentral:rRNA from 1 species
AGGGUGCAGGGCGGAUGCCUUGGCACUAGGAGCCGAUGAAGGACGUGAUAAGCUGCGAUAAGCUUCGGGGAGUUGCACGUAAACUUUGAUCCGAAGAUUUCCGAAUGAGGAAACUCACUUAGAGUAAUGUCUAAGUAUCAUUAAGUGAAUACAUAGCUUAAUGAGGGGAACUCAGGGAACUGAAACAUCUAAGUACCUGAAGGAAGAGAAAGAAAUUCGAUUCCGUAAGUAGCGGCGAGCGAACGCGGAUUAGCCCAAACCAAUAAAGUUUUCUUUAUUGGGGUUGCGGACAUAUCAUAACGAAGAGGUAUCGUAAUUGAAGAGGUUUGGAAAGACCCACCACAGAAGGUAAUAGUCCUGUAUGUUAAACGAGAAGACUUCAGAUAUGAUCCAGAGUACCACGGGACACGUGAAACCCUGUGGGAAGCAGGAGGGACCACCCUCCAAGGCUAAAUACUACCUAGUGACCGAUAGCGUAUAGUACCGUGAGGGAAAGGUGAAAAGAACCCCGGGAGGGGAGUGAAAUAGAACCUGAAACCCUGCACUUACAAGCUGUGGAAGCACAUUUCUUGUGUGACCGCGUACUUUUUGUAGAACGGGCCAACGAGUUACGUUAAGUAGCAAGGUUAAGCACUUAAGGUGCGGAGCCGUAGCGAAAGCGAGUUUUAACUGAGCGUUCAGUUACUUGACGUAGACCCGAAACCGGGCGACCUACCCAUGAGCAGGAUGAAGCGAAAGUAAAAUUUCGUGGAGGUCCGAACCCACGAGCGUUGAAAAGCUCGGGGAUGACUUGUGGGUAGCGGUGAAAUUCCAAUCGAGCCCGGAGAUAGCUGGUUCUCCCCGAAAUAGCUUUAGGGCUAGCCUCAAGGUGAGAGAUACGGAGGUAGAGCACUGAAUGUCCUAGGGGGUAUUGCACCUACCGAAGACUAUCAAACUCCGAAUGCCGUCAUCUUAUACUUGGGAGUCAGACUGUGGGUGAUAAGAUUCAUAGUCGAAAGGGCAACAGCCCAGAUCGUCAGCUAAGGUCCCUAAAUGUAAGUUAAGUGGUAAAGGAUGUGGGAUUGCACAGACAACCAGGAUGUUGGCUUAGAAGCAGCCACUCAUUCAAAGAGUGCGUAAUAGCUCACUGGUCGAGUGAUCCUGCGCCGAAGAUUUCCGGGGCUAAAACUUACUACCGAAGCUACGGCAUCAGUAAUGAUGGGUAGGGGAGCUUCCCAUACGGGUUGAAGCAUGACCGUAAGGACAUGUGGACAGUAUGGGAGUGAGAAUGUUGGCAUGAGUAGCGAGAUGUGGGUGAGAAUCCCACAGGCCGUAAACCCAAGGUUUCCAGGGGAAGGUUCGUCCGCCCUGGGUUAGUCGGGACCUAAGCUGAGGCCGAAAGGCGUAGGUGAUGGACAACAGGUUGAUAUUCCUGUACUACCGAUAACCGUUUGAGAGAAGGGAUGACACAGUAGGAUAAGCUAAGCACACUGUUGGUUAUGUGUGCCCAAGCAUUGAGGCAGUCAAAGCAGGCAAAUCCGCUUUGAUAAUGCUGGGAUGUGAUGGGGAGCGAAAUUUAGUAGCGAAGUAGCUGAUUUCACACUGUCAAGAAAAGUCUCUAUCGAGGUUAAAGGUACCCGUACCGCAAACCGACACAGGUGGGUGAGGAGAGUAUCCUAAGGCCAGCGAGAGAACUGUUGUUAAGGAACUCGGCAAAAUGACCCCGUAACUUAGGGAUAAGGGGUGCCACCAUCCGGUGGCCGCAGAGAAUAGGCCCAAGCGACUGUUUACCAAAAACAUAGGUUUCUGCUAAGUCGCAAGACGAUGUAUAGGAGCUGACGCCUGCCCGGUGCUGGAAGGUUAAGGGGAUCUGUUAGAGCAAUCGAAGCAGUGAACUUAAGCCCCAGUAAACGGCGGCCGUAACUAUAACGGUCCUAAGGUAGCGAAAUUCCUUGUCGGGUAAGUUCCGACCCGCACGAAAGGCGUAACGAUUUGGGCACUGUCUCAACAACAGACUCGGUGAAAUUGUAAUUCCGGUGAAGAUGCCGGAUACCUGCGACAGGACGGAAAGACCCCAUGGAGCUUUACUGUAGCUUGACAUUGGGUCUUGGUACUACAUGUACAGGAUAGGUGGGAGGCUUUGAAACCAGGACGCCAGUUUUGGCGGAGCCAUCCUUGGGAUACCACCCUUGUAGUACUGGGACUCUAACCAUAGGCCAUGAAUCUGGUCUUGGGACACUGUCAGGUGGGCAGUUUGACUGGGGCGGUCGCCUCCCAAAAGGUAACGGAGGCGCUCAAAGGUUCUCUCAGUACGGUCGGAAAUCGUACGUAGAGUGUAAAGGCAAAAGAGAGCUUGAUUGCAAGACAUACAGGUCGAGCAAGGAUGAAAAUCGGACUUAGUGAUCCGGUGGUUCUGCGUGGAAGGGCCAUCGCUCAACGGAUAAAAGCUACCCUGGGGAUAACAGGCUUAUCUCCCCCAAGAGUCCACAUCGACGGGGAGGUUUGGCACCUCGAUGUCGGCUCGUCGCAUCCUGGGGCUGUAGUCGGUCCCAAGGGUUGGGCUGUUCGCCCAUUAAAGCGGCACGCGAGCUGGGUUCAGAACGUCGUGAGACAGUUCGGUCCCUAUCCGUCGCAGGCGUAGGAAAUUUGAGAAGACCUGUCCUUAGUACGAGAGGACCGGGAUGGACGUACCUCUGGUGUACCAGUUGUUCUGCCAAGGGCAUGGCUGGGUAGCUAUGUACGGAAUGGAUAAGCGCUGAAAGCAUCUAAGCGCGAAGCCAACUUCAAGAUAAGAUUUCCCACCGCAAGGGUAAGACCCCAGAAAGACUAUCUGGUUGA